CGCGAAGAACCUUACCUGGUCUUGACAUCCACGGAAGUUUUCAGAGAUGAGAAUGUGCCUUCGGGAACCGUGAGACAGGUGCUGCAUGGCUGUCGUCAGCUCGUGUUGUGAAAUGUUGGGUUAAGUCCCGCAACGAGCGCAACCCUUAUCCUUUGUUGCCAGCGGUCCGGCCGGGAACUCAAAGGAGACUGCCAGUGAUAAACUGGAGGAAGGUGGGGAUGACGUCAAGUCAUCAUGGCCCUUACGACCAGGGCUACACACGUGCUACAAUGGCGCAUACAAAGAGAAGCGACCUCGCGAGAGCAAGCGGACCUCAUAAAGUGCGUCGUAGUCCGGAUUGGAGUCUGCAACUCGACUCCAUGAAGUCGGAAUCGCUAGUAAUCGUGGAUCAGAAUGCCACGGUGAAUACGUUCCCGGGCCUUGUACACACCGCCCGUCACACCAUGGGAGUGGGUUGCAAAAGAAGUAGG
rnacentral:rRNA from 1 species